rnacentral:rRNA from 1 species
GACGAACGCUGGCGGCGUGCUUAACACAUGCAAGUCGAACGGAAAGGCCCUGCUUUUGUGGGGUGCUCGAGUGGCGAACGGGUGAGUAACACGUGAGUAACCUGCCCUUGACUUUGGGAUAACUUCAGGAAACUGGGGCUAAUACCGGAUAGGAGCUCCUGCUGCAUGGUGGGGGUUGGAAAGUUUCGGCGGUUGGGGAUGGACUCGCGGCUUAUCAGCUUGUUGGUGGGGUAGUGGCUUACCAAGGCUUUGACGGGUAGCCGGCCUGAGGGGGUGACCGGCCACAUUGGGACUGAGAUACGGCCCAGACUCCUACGGGAGGCAGCAGUGGGGAAUAUUGCACAAUGGGCGGAAGCCUGAUGCAGCAACGCCGCGUGCGGGAUGACGACCUUCGGGUUGUAAACCGCUUUCGCCUGUGACGAAGCGUGAGUGACGGUAAUGGGUAAAGAAGCACCGGCUAACUACGUG